UACAGCGGCCGCGUCUCAGAAGUUGAAUUGUACUGUGGGAUGUCGGACUUUCGUGCCUUUCUAAUCUAGCAUCGGAAGUUAUCAAAUAGGCUGUGCAUUAUGCCAUCUUGGGUUAUGUGGAUAUUACACGAUCAUACCUUGAUGAAAACGGAAUUCAUGGGGUGUAUUUGAAGUAUGUCUGUCAAACGUCCAUAUUUUACAAAUUUUAAUUCGUGCAUGUGAUGGUCAGUGUGAAGAGUAUUAUAAGUGGAAAUAAUUGUAAACACUACAUGAAGCUACUGCGUGCAAGUGUCCCGCUACAUGCCUAUGCAGAAACCUGGGGGAAGUGGAGGUCUAGCUCCUCUCUUCCUUGACCUGGGCACUAGAUGGAGGUGAGU